UAACAGUUCCCUACAUGCAAUCCUAGCAACCCCACAAAAAUCCUAAUUACCUACACAAACAACUCACAAACAACCCUAAUGAUUUGAAUACAGAAAUGCGGUAACACCGUUUUCUAAAGAUGGUGAGUGAUUCACCGCUUUCAAUGCACACAGUAAACGAUUUACCGUCUUUCACUUCUCCUUCCACAUGGCGCUGAGUUGGACAAAAUACGGUUGGUUUGCGAAAUAAAUUUUUAUUAGGGUUAUUUGACUUAAUAUAAUUCGUUAAAGGUUAUUCAAAAAAAAAAUGAAAUUUGUUUAUGUAAUCUUGCUUUAUCAAGCAACUAGAAUAAUGUAUAGAUGCUAAAGUUACUAUUGCACAAAUGAUCCAUAUGCUACAGCGAAACAGUUUUAGCUAUCGUGAAAUAGUUUUAGCUACAAUUUAAUAGAAAUGUAAUAAUUAGUAAUAGUCUUAAUGAUCAUGCGUUUCUCUUUCAAGCUUUAAUCAAAUUGUUUAUAUCAAGAAGAUACUUAGAUUUUGAUGGUGAUGCAGAGUGGGAUUCACAUAGGAUUCAGUUGAGUCAUCUUUUAUUUAUUGAGUCAAUUUUUGUAUUAGGUUUGGUUGAGUCGUUAGGAUAUUAUAUUUUUUUUUCUAAUUCUCGGAAUUAUUAUUUUUUAAUUUAUUUCAGGGAUUGCUUUUAUUUUCUAUGUGGAAUAAAACCCUAAAAAUUAGGGAUAUAUUUUAGGGCCUUUUUUAGAUAUGUUCGAAUUAGGAAAAUUUCGAUUUGUUUUAGAUUACAAUUAUAUUUGACGGCUAUAAUUAUAGCCUAUGCCUUGUAAUUUUAGAGACAAUUUAUGAUGAGAUAAAGUUUGUGUUUCAUGUUUAGACUGCGAUCAUGGUAUCUUCUUCUUCCCUUUGCCUUGUGCAUCGACGAAAAUCUAUCUUUCUAAAGGUUCUUUCUUCUCUUUUCUUCAUCUAUUUCUUCUCUCUUAUUUCUCGCUUCUUCUUCAUUUAAUCCUUACUCUCUAAUCUUUUUAAAGUAUUCUAGAAUUUUCUAAAAAAUUAUAAAAUUCAGUUUUAUGAAGAUUUGGGCUCAUCACAAGCAAGAUAAAUUAAGACUUUUCUAAUUUGUCCUGCAUUAGAUGGUUUUAGGAUAUGUUUGUUUAUGUCAAGAUUGUAGUGCGGAAUGGUGAAUAUGUGAUAGGAGUCUAAAAGCAUAUGUUAUGCAUUAGCAAUAUCUUGCACAUUAAAAUCAAUCUUGUACAGAUUUGGUUUGGUAUGGAAAAUGUCUAUUGUCGAGUAAAGUUAGUGUCUCUUGAUCUGAGUCUUCUAAUUUAUUCAGAAAUUGACUGACAAAGUCUUGCUUAUCUUAAUUUUCAGAAUUCUGAAUGCCACUGUACGUAAAUUGCCUCGUUUGGCAUUGGUUUAAUGUUUAAAAGGCUCAAUCUUACUAAGUAAUGCUCGUUAAUUGUUGUUGGUUGAUGGACCGUUCAUUGAUCUGGAUGAACUUUGAGCAUCUGAUUUGUAUUUUGUUUGUCACACCAAGUUCUUUGAUAUGACCUUGGGCGAUAGUGGUGGAAUCAUGGAUAGAACUAUAAUGCAAGAAUCUUGUGGGGCUGAUGUAGCAUGGCCGUUUUUGCCUUCUGGAGGUUUUUGAUGCAAGAAUGUUUUAGUGCUAUCACACAAUGGUGCUGUAGCAUGGCUGUAUUGUAGUAGGUUAAGGAGAAGAAGAAAAAGAAGAAUGAGAUAGAAGAAUAAAGACGAAGAUUGGGGACAAGAAUGUCACGCCCUUGUUCCACAGCGGAAGCCCAGGGGACGACAACAGACCGCCGUGUGUGCACAAUCUUGCACACACGAAGCGUCCAAUCGAACAACAACAACAACGAAAGCGAGUAACUUUAUAAUCUACAACUAAAGAAUACCACAAAUCACAAAUUAAUGGUUCUAGAACUACGAAGUUAAGAUAAAGACAUGUAUUAGAGCACUAUGCACAAGCUUAACUACCGUACAUCACUAUACAGAAUCAUAUAAACCUCAAACCCCAAAAAGUAAAAGUGCAAGUAAAAGGCCUUGGCCUCGCCAGUCCUUAUGUACAGUAAACAUAUCCAAAAUCCACUAAUUGGUGGUCCUCUAACACACAUGUACACCGGUAGAAGAUGCUAUCUACUGCACGAUCCCCUUACCUCGAUCAGCGGAAGGUGCACCUGUCUCUGAAAAGUAAACCAUAAGAGGGUGCGAGAACUACUAAACAGAAGUUCCCAGUGGUACAGUUGGCGACAACCAUGACCUUCCCACUAGGUCUACAAAAACAAGCAUAGGUAACAAUAAUUAAUUCCACUAAAUACUAAGCUAUAAAGCAUAAUACGAGUAAUAAAUUUCUACUAUUCAUCAUGUUUCUACGCAGGUAAUGAACAUGAAGGAAAAUGACUAAAUCAUGCAUCAAUGCUAUUACUAAUAGAUAAAUGCAAUAGUAUAUUUGAUUGCAAUAACCGACUCAUAGGUCCGGUCAAGCCUGUGCCCGCCUAGUGUGCGGCCACACUGCUGCAUGUGUGACGGCGAUAUCUAGGCUACUGUCUUUGCUAUCGCUGGCCAGUCUCCGAAGUGACACUCGAGGGGAGUGACUCCUACCGAGUCUAAUAGUGCGUAAUUCUGUCAAGCUCUAUGUGGCUCUUCAGGCUAUAGUCUUUGUGAUGAUCAAAAGAUCACAAUUAACCAAUCCGGUGUUCUUAAUGUUAUAAAAAAUAAUUUCUAUGUCUAGUGUCACUAUGACAUAUAUUCUACCUCAAUGUCCAAAACGUCUAUUUACUACUGCUGCUCUAACCCACGGUCUUUAUUACCUAGUUCAUGACAAUCGAGACAUGUUUAAAUGAGGAAUGCUCUACAACCAUGCAUAUGAUGUUAACUCGCCCCUCUUGGCCUAAUCUAGCAUAUAUGCUUAAUAUACUAUUAACCAUUUACUAUAUUACAACUAUAGAACAUAGGAUUUACCUGACAUGACAAAGAUGAGUGUUAACAUGCAAUCAUGCUAGAAUUCUAAUUCUCUACUUGAUUUCGUACCAUCGCCUUCUAUCAAUAUAAGUAACAUAUAUAUAUAUAGAGCUAGGCUGGUAUACUAUUGGUUGCACGGAGGCCUCCGUGCUAUCAAGUUAUUUUCAAUGAUGCGGCUUCCAAAUCGACGAUCGGCUCCGUUAGACUUGAUCUACACUAUUAAAAGUAUUUGGAACUAAAUUUCAUAAUUUUUCGACAUCAUUUGACUAGUGAUCAAAAGGUCUCAAAAUUGACAAUUUUAAUGGUAGAUGUGAUGCGUUUGUGAAUUUAACAUUGUAAAACAAUCCAAAUCUGAUGAAAUUUUUAUAGAAAAUUCUUUUCACUAUUUAGAGUAAGAUUAGUACCUCUGAUCUUAAAUUCAAGUUUUUUAUCAUUAUUUUUUAUGAGAUUUUUAUUUUUAGCCGUUCAUAUUUAGACUACUCGUUUGAUAGGUAAAUGAUACCGAAAAUUUAUGAAAUAAUGUAGAUCAAGUCUAACGGAGCCGAUCGUCGAUUUGGAAGCUGCAUCAUUGAAAACAACUUGGUAGUACGGAGGGCUCCGUGCUACCGAUAGUAUACCAGCCUAGCUCUCUCUCUCUCUAUAUAAAUAUAGAGUCUGGCCACUAUACUUUUAUGAGUAUAGACCCCUUUGUACUCAUAAGUUUUCGGUCGUUAGAUCUAGCUCUUUGAUCAUUUCCUCCCGUUAGAUCAUACUAUUCAACCAACCACCCACUCAACCCUAAGGGACCACUAUCAUCAUAACCGGGGCCGCUAUCAUCCUAACCACACAUUUCUUCAUCCAACGGCCGAAAACUUAUAAGUACAAAGUGGUCCUAUACUCAUAAGAGUAUAGUAGUCUACUAUAUAUAUCAUAUUAUAAUAUAGAUUAUUAUAUAUAUAUAUAUAUAUACUAUAUAUAAGAGUUCCGGCUAAUGUGCUUGUAAAAUCACCCAACACUCUUUGGUACCUUGUAAGGUUUUUACCGUUAGAUCUACGCUUUGAUCAUUUUCAAGCCGUAUUUAGAUAUACUAUUCAACCAACUACCCAUCUCAACCCCUAGCGUGCCCACAUUAUUCUAACCGCACAUCCCUUAAUCCCAAAGAGCCGAAAACUACAAAGACCAAUGACUUGGUACUUUUAAAAGCAUAGAGUCAUCUAUAUAUAUAUAUAUCAAUUUAGACAUAGAAGGAAAUUCGCUGUUUCUCUGGCGGAUUGGAACCCACCUUGGAUCGCUAUCAAAAGCGGCAACGUAAUCGUCUAUACAGCCAUUCUCGGUUCAUGUCCCGCAGGGACUCCACGAAAGUAAACUUCAAAUAUCAGGAAGGAGUUAGCAAAGCAAAGGAUACCAUAAAAUGCCAUACAAUUUUGCGAUUUGAUCAAAAGAGAGGGGCGGGGGGUGGGGGUGGGGGGGGGGGUGUUAGAUUAAAACUAAUCCAAAUUACGUUGAUGAUCCGUGUGAGGUAAUUCCAAACCAGCGGGAAGUGACAAGAGGUUUAGUAAAAUCCUCCAAACGCUCAAUGGGAGAAUCGGAACUACGAAAACCUAAAAUUCAACGGAAGAUCAAAAUUCUAUUUAACUUUAAUUACAUCAAUUUCACACCGGUUACAUCAAAUUCCAGCAAAAUAAAGUGUAAUUCAAACUCCCCUACUUUCCUCUUCCUCCCGUGAAUGUCGAUUCAAUCGCCGACCGCGGAUUGCACGAAAUUGACUCUCCCUCUCUCCCUCCUUGCUCCGCUACUGUUCCAGAAGCAACUGAUGGCUGGUUGCUGCUGCUGCUAAGCAGCCAGCAGCAGCAGCUGCUGGCUACUGCUGCUGCCGUUGCUGUCAAGCAGCCAUCAGCAGCAGCUGCUGGCUACUGCUGCUGCUGCUGCUGUUUCUCAGCCAGCAAGAGAGAGAGAGAGAGAGAGAGAGAGAGAGAGAGAGGGGAGGAGGAGGAGGAGGAGAAAAAGGAACUGUAAACGAGAAAAUACUUACGUCGCAAGCGCAGUUCGCAUGUGCAAUUUCGAUCGGCUCGUCGGAUUAAUUGGAACUUCACAAUCCUAUUUCUUCCUUUUCUCCUCCUUUCUCUUCUUCUUCUCUUCUUUCUCUCUCUGUAAGCCUCAGGUGGAGUGACAGGGCAUUCAAGAAUGCUCCUGAGGCUUAGUGGAUUUCCACUAAAAUUGGACAAUUGCAAGAUAGUCCAAUUAACACAAGUAAUGAGAUUUUAGUCCUCAACAAGUGGAAAUUGAGUUAUUGAGUUCUUUUUCGCGUCAAUUUCGUGCCAAAACGUCUGCAACCUACGCAAGCCCUGUAAGAGCAUGCUGACUAUAAAGUCAUACUGUAAUCUUGUCUAUUUGGCAAGGUGCAUUAUUCUAGAAAGAAGGUGAGAGGAGGGACAGAUCGGCUAACCUAGCCAAACAAAGGAAACAUUAUGGAAAAGCCCUCGAAUGAACUAAAACACUAUUCCUAUUGAUCAUCCUCUGGUUACAAAGAGGAGCAUUUUGUGUUAUUCAAAGAUUUCAUGUGCCUAGUGGAAUUUCCAAUUAUUGGGUUUGUGUAUUCUAAACGACAACAACUUAUUUGAAAUUCCUAACUAAGAGAUUCAUUCUAAUCCUUUUGUAACAAUCAACUUACUUUGAAAAUAUACCACAAUAUUUUUGAAAAGGUGAUAGUACUCGAUUUCACUUGUCUUAGUUCCACACAUCGUACUGCAUCAGCACAAAAACAUGAUGCAGUAAUGUAGGAUUGAAAUUAUAUAUAUAUUUUUAAUCUCCGACUAAGAAGUUCGAUUUUUUAUAUUUGUUUGCUGUUAUUGAGAAUGGAGACUCCAUUAAAUUAUUGCUGGAGUACAAUAUUUAUUUAUUUUGUUAAUUUAGCUGCUUUUCCUUAGUUAAACUCUAUUUGCUAUUAUUGUGCUGUUUUUGCAGCUUCUCUACUUGACUGGAGUUUGAUAUCUCUUAUCAAUAUGUUGAUGUUUAUUGCCAUUCAGCUUACUACUCCAAGAAGAGGUAUGUAUUAUUGAAUUACCACAUGUUAUAUUCUUCUUUAUUGCUUGUAGGUUCAGUGUCUCUUGGUUCUGGAGAAAUGGUUCUCUGGAGGACUCAUAUUUAAUUAGUUGUUACGAUGACUUUAGAUUUUUCAUGAUUUCCUUAAGCUUUUUGAGAUCCUAAAUACUGUCAUCUAAGCUAUCUUCUUAUAUCUACGUCAUGUUAUAUGUAAUUUUGUUGCUCAGAGUAAUUGUAUUAAGCUGCUUGUAUUGUUUUCUUUUCUUUUCACUUUUUUCCCCUAUGUUUGGGGCCUGUUUGGUUCCUCGAAAAAUACCACAGAAAACUUGUUUUAUGGUGGAAAAGUUUUUUUUUCCAUGUGUUUAGAGUAGAUUUUUUGGAAAAUUAUUUUCCAUUUUUCACGGAAAACUUUCCUUUUCGUUUUUCAAAUUUUUUUUUCCAGAAAACAAAAACUUUUUUCUUAUGGACGUUUUGAGUAAAAUAGGGAAUUUCUCUUUUCUAAUAUAUCGGUAUACGCUUACCACUAAACCGUCAUCUUAACAUUUUCUACUGUCGUCUCUAUCUCCCCAAGGUGUAUAUAUAUAUAUAUAUAUACACAGCAUAAUUGUCUCCAUCUCCUAUUUGUCAUAUCAACCAUCUCCAUCUUCUUUGUGAAACUAUUUUAUCUACACUAAAAUAUACUUCAGAUUGUUUUUAUUUAUUAUUUUAUUAUUUAUAUUAUAAAUAGUUUGUGCGUAUUAUGUUAAAUUUUAAAAGGUUAGUAUUCCCACCCUCCUUUGUAGCAGGUAUAUAUAUAUAUAUAUAUAUAUAUAUAUAUAUAUAGAAUUAGGCUACUAUACUAUCUAUAGUACCGGGGCUUCGGUACUAUAGUCUUGUUUUCGAUCUUAGGGUGUUCAAAUUAACGAUCCACAUUGUUAAAAAUGAUCUACGGUAUAUGAAGUUCUUAGAAAUAAAAUUUUAGUUUUUUUCGACAUCGUUUACUUAGUAAAUAAAUUAUGUCAAAAUGGAAGGUGGAAAUUGAAUAAUCUUUAAAAUUUGAGCAUAGGACUUUUAAAUUCAAGAUCAAGAAUGUUAACCUUAAUCUAGAUAGUUUAAAGUAUUUUCUAUCAAAAUUUGAAGAAAUUUAGAUUCUUCUACACCGUUAAACUCUAAAGUCGCCAUAGUAGCCAUUGAAAAUUGACAAUUUUGAAAUGGUUUGAUCAUAAAGUAAACUAUGUCGAAAAAAUAUAAAAUUUUAUUUCUAAAAACUUUAAAAACCCUAGAUCAGUUUUAACGGUGUGGAUCGUUGAUUUGAACACCCUAAGAUCGAAAACGAGACUAUAGUACCGGAGCCCCGGUACCAAGGUUUUAAGUGCCCGUCGGCACGGACCGUAUCCACUGUGCCGUAUCGUGCCCACAAGAUACCGACAUGAUACAGAUCCCGUGCCGAUGGCACAGCUCAAAACCCUCUAUUCUUUAAAUUAGUAAGUAAUUUCCUCAAUAAAGUUCAAAAGAUGUGAUAAAAAGAUAUAAUAAAUAGUUAGAAUAUUUUGUUGCUAAAGAAAAUAAAUAUUUCAUACUAUUAUGUGUCGGCAUGCAAGAAUUUUUUUGACCGGCACGCAUCGGCAUGGCUCGGCACGGCUCGGCACGGCUCGGCACGCACCGUGCCGGCAAGUUUCCGGCACAACCUCGUGCCACGACACUUAAAUCCUUGCCCGGUACUAUAGAUAGUAUAGGAGACUAACUCUCUCUCUCUCUCUCUCUCUCUCUAUAUAUAUAUAUAUAUAUAUAUAUAUAUAUAUAUAUAUAUAGUUGUGCUGGUAUGCUUCUAGUAUAUAUAGAGUUGUGCUGGUAUGCUUCUAGAAGCACGGAGGUCUCCGUGCUUCCAAGUCGUUUUCGAUGUUCGCACUUUCGAAUCGUUGAUCGGCUCCGUUAGAGUUGAUCUAGAGUAUUUGAAGUACCUAGAAAAUAAAUUUUGCGAUUUUUCGAUAUUAUUUGCCUAGUGAUCGAAGGGGCUCAAAAUCAAUAAUUUUAACGGCCGUGGUGAGCCGGUUGCAAGUUUAACGGUGUAGAAAUAUCCAAAUCACAUGAAAUUUUGAUAGAAAAUUCUUUAUACCAUAUAAAACAAGAUCAAUAACUUUGAUCUAAAAUUUUAAUGUCAUAUCAUCGUAUUUUGUAAGAUUUUUAUUUUCAGCCGUUGAUUUUGAGCCACUUCGAUCACUAGGNNNNNNNNNNNNNCCAAUCAACUUUUAAAACUAUGUAUGUAUGUAUAUAUAUGUAUAUAUAUAUCUCGAUCCGACCAUAUGAUAGCCAUCGUGCCUCCGGAGGUACGAUGGUUCAACAAAAGUUACUACGUCGAAGGUUUAGCUGCUAGCCGAAACAAUCUGAACUAGAUGUGAUAAUUUUUAUAAACCUUUGAUUUAAAGUAUUAAAAAGUCGUAGUUAACCAAUCACUAGUUUUCCAGAGUUUUAACUGUUAAAAUUACCAUCUACACUACGUAAACAUUUAAAUUGCCACAUUUUGUUAGGUUUAGUUUACUUUAAAAAUAUCUUUUAAGAAAAAUGAUAAAUCUCAUUCUAGUCAUGGAGAUUAGAAUUUAAGUUCAGAAGAUAGUAGUAAAAAAUACUCUAAAAAUAAAAGUCAGCAAGUAAAAAUCUGGUGAGCAAACUAUCCAUUUACUAUGACUUUUUAAUACUUUAAAUCAAAGGUUUAUGAAAGUUAUCACAUCUAGUUCAGAUUGCUCCGGCUAGCAGCUAAACCUUCGGCGUAGUAAUUUUUGUUGAACCAUCGUUCCUCCGGAGACACGAUGGCUAUCAUAUGGUCGGAUCGAGAGAGAGAGAGAGAGAGAGAGAGAGAGAGAGAGAGAGAGAGAGAGAGAGAGAGAUAUAUAUAUAUAUAUAUAUAUAUAUAUAUAUAUCUCGAUGAUAUGAUAGCCUUCGUAUCUCUUAGACUAUGAAAGCUAAAAAACCGGGAAUUUAGUUAGUGAAACUAGUAAAGAUUGGAAACCUAAUUAUGAUAAUAGUACACCGUUAACCGUAACCUGUAUCCUAAAAUUUCAUAGGUUUAAGUUUGUUUUAUACAACCCGGUACAAAGUCCUUUUGUUUUUUUUUUCUUGGUGUUUUCUAGGUUUCGGGUAACCCCGAAUUUGGUGUAAAGUAUGUUAUAUGUAUUAUGUGUGACCCGGAAUAUUUCGGGUAAUUGUAAAAUACCCCUGAUCUUUUAAGAUCUUUUAAGUUCACAUUAUACGCUGUAACCGGGUCUAGUCAAUCCAACAAACCCUAACGUCUCUCUAACGCCACUCUUUUAUGAUGACGCCGUUUUAUGAAAUAAAUAAAAACAUUGAUUAUCGAACAAAUAACGAGCUGUAUAGCGUUAGAAUACUCAGUUUGUUUCUUCGUGUAGAAACAUGCGAAAACGAGGUCGAGACAAAAUACUCUUAGUAUCAAGACAUGUAGCAACUCUAAAGUUUCCCACUAGUAGGGAAAUCUAAUAAAAUUCAAUUUACAUAAAAAUACUAAGAGGUCUCAUGGUUGAUAAAGUCGAAGAAUUAAGCUUAGUUAUAAAUUUAUAGCCGACUUACUCAGGUCAACUUAGCACUUAGUUACUUAACCACCUUAACAGGCUUGGCAACCAGCUCGGUGACCAGCUUGGCUAUUUUGGAAUUAGACUAUCGCAAAAACGCGCACAAUAUAUAUUGAAAGAAAGAAAAUACGGAUUCCAAAGACACCUACAAAGUUUGUUUUACCGAAUCAACUGGUUUCACAAACUUAUGAAUUGUCAUGACAUGAGUGGUUCUAGUCUGUUUACCCAUUCACGGGUUCAAUCCGUUUGAUUUCAGUUUUGGAUAAGUUGAGUCGUUGACAACUUAAUUACGAAAAAAAAAAAAAAAGGGGUCAGUUUUACCAGUUGAAAACUUUUGUGGUUACUGAGUACUACACAACUACACACACAUACGUAUGUUAAUGUAAUAGAGUAACAGGGGUACGUUGGUUUAAAAAUAGUUGGUUUAAAAUUUUUGAUUCAUCAACUUCUGGAAAACACAUCACUCACCUGUACAAUUAAACGUAACGUUAAUUUAAUAAGGGUAACAUCUAUCAGGAUGAUUCUUGUAUGGUUUACCUAUACAUUAUUACUGUCCAUCUUCUUUGGAAAAAAGGGGGGGAAUUAAUAACUUAUUUUGAAAAAUCAUGGUGUAGAUAAUAACCUACGAUACUAAUAAUAUCACGUUAUUAAUUGACACCCUCGAAAAUUAUUAUAGAUGGAAGAUGAAACCGGAGAAGACGAAGAGACCCAACGAAAAGUUGGAACACAAGACGAUAAUUUUUGGGGUAUUUGAAAAGUAUAUUCUUAGUUAAAAAAUAAAGAUCUCAAAACCGGUGACAAGAAAGAAUUACAAUCAACUCGUUAAGUCUACGGGAUGAGAUCAGAAGUUAUAAAAUAAUUUAAUAUUCCAUGUUGUAUUUUAACAUCUCAGAAAAGGAAAAAGGUAGUAUACAAAUAUUAUAUUCAUAUGCAUAUUGUUGAAGGUGGCUAACAUGAAUCACGUCAACCAAUUCUUAAAUUACCAACCAUAGGCUCUAAAAUUCAAGUUUUAGAUUAACGAAAUAUAAAGAUCGACUCAAAUAAAGAGUCUUUACUUGUUUUUGUACAUCGUACAAGAGAGAGAGAGAGAGUGAAACUAUUUUUUUUUUUUUUUUUUUUGGGGUUUCUUGUUUUACCAAAAAGGAUGGUACAUUCGUAGAAAAUUACUCCACUAAUAAUCAACCAAUACAGACUGUCGAGAUAACAAUCCUUGUACAGGGUUUGAACCUGGUCUCCCUUACGAAAUAAAGUAAAAGUACCCUAGUUUGUUCCAAAGUUAAACAAUCGAUGUUUGUGAUUUUCCGAAAGCUUUUAUUUAUAAUAAAAAUGUAUCAUAGUAUUAACCUUCAAGAUUAAAACUUGAAAUGUUUUAAAAGAUUAGCUCUGCAUCCUUUUUGACAAUUUAUAUUUAUAAUUUUUAUGGUAAUAGACCAUCGAAAUCAAAAAUCUCUAUUUUCUGAGUAGAAAGUGUAAUAAAAACGUACUCGAAUUAAUAUAAGAAUAAUUAUUUGUAUCUUUCUAAACUUCUAUCUCAAUACAUUGAUUUGUCCUUCCUUUUUCUACCCACUCGUUUUCGAUUUGGAUUUUCCCGAAUAAAACGUCACUCCUUUGUCAAUAUUUUUCUCUCGUAAAACAGUCAAGAACAAACCUAAAUAGGGACUUGUCCUUAGAAUUAAUUAGUGUACUUUAAUUUGGGGUCUUGUUCCCGGUGUCGGAGUCACACCACCAACACGGUAAGGACAGGAAAAAACGAAUUUAAGACGCCGUCAACCCGAAUACAGCUCUUUUUUAAAUCCAGAAUUAAGACUCAUCAAGAAGAGACAUUGCAGGUAAGGUGCAUUUAAUACAUUGCAUAAUAAAUGUUGUUAAAAAAAGAAUAUCAAUAAAAAUAAAUUUGAAUGAAUUUUAUAACAAGUAAAAUAGACUGGUUAGAAUGUACCGAUUCACUUAAUUUAUUCCCGUAAUUCCUCAUACGUACGUAUAAGAUCGAAACCUAUACGAACUUUGAAAGUUCACCUGGACUCACGUAUCUAAUCUAUCGUUCCAACUCGGUUACCGAUGGUUUGGAGAUGAGUCUUAGAGUGGUAUAGAUCGAUUAGAAUAAAGAAAAGAAAAGAAAAGAAAAGAAAAACUUAACUUUAAUAAGUCUUUUGUGUUUUCCUCCUGGUUUUCCCGUUGAAAAACAAAAGUAAAAAGGAGUUUACUAGUUUACCACGAACUCAACUCGAAAAGUCAUCUACGUCCACCCCAGAGAGACGUCAGGGAAAGUCGUACGGACUCGAGUUAGUGGGAAUGAGAUUUGUGUGAGAAAGGUUUGGAUAGGUUCGAUGGGUCUUCUAGAAACACAACCAAUGGAGAGUCCUUCCCUCUUCGUGAAGAGGUUUAGUGUAUUUUUUUUAUCGUUCGGUAGGAUAAUAUAAUCGGAUGAUAACUUUAAACUUUUCAGGGGAAGUGAAAGGUUAAGGAAAAAGAAAGGGACGGUCAUUGUACACUCCGACCAAAAACACGAGUGUACCUUUUUUGAGAUGAGUAUAACGUAACUUUUAGUGAAUGGUUCUUCGUGAAAAGGAGUUGGUAGUAGUAUUAGUGUUAGUAAUAAAGGACGAAGAAAAACUUCGACUUUCCUCUCAAGUUCAACAGUUACUAGUAGUUCCUCUGGUAGAGUUCGAGAGUGACGUCAUAGAACAUUCAAGGUUAGAUGAUAAGGUCGUACGUUUUCAAGAGAGAGUACGAAAAACACAGUGAAAACUCGUGGUAUGAGUAGUGACGUACACAUCAUCAGAGACGUUUAAGACUAAGUCACGACGACGAAGUUUAUUUUAGGCUAAAGCAGCUGGGCUUACCCCAAGAGCUUUCGACCAGAAACUCACGUUUACACACAUCGACCUUACCUCAAUGUACAGAACUACUGGUCCUGAUACAGAACCCAGAAUUGAAUAGCCCGGCUCCCGACAGGCCAAGCUAGAGAGGCCGCUGGCCUGCCGAGCAUAAGGAGCUUAAGGAGCUAAAUAGCAGCUUAAGAGACAGGCCGGGCUAGGGGGUGCUUGAACCGUACGAGUUCUUGGACUUUUGUAACGAAAACAUGAGGUUAAGGGAGAGGCCAAGCUAAGGAGCUCUCGAGCCGGAAGACUACUUGGAGCUCCUCGAGUCUUAUCCACUAUUGAACGAGAGACCCCUCUAGGGCGGCGUAUAGCCGUUGACGUGGCUUAACCUCUAAGACCCAGAACGAAGAACGGCUAAUUUGCCCUCAUAAGGCUAAGUUUAAAGACUAUACUUAGUAGACUCUUAUGAAUUAUAAGUCUUGUUAUCGGAGAGUCCCGGCUAAGGGCUUCCUUAGCCGAUGACGUCAUUAGACGUUCAAGAUAGUCGACGACUCUUGUUGAAUGUCCCUCUUUAGGGAGUUAGUUAACCCUUUAAUAUACUUGACGUUUGAGACUUAGAACGUUUGUUGGUUGAAAUGCCCGGCUAAGGAUAUCUUUAACCGCUAGAAAGCUCGAACUGAAUAGAGAUAGAUGAGCCUUUGGCUAAUUCGCCGUCGUAGGGACGCGUCGACUUGGUCAACUCAGUCGACUUCUAAAACCUGAACAGCUACUUAUUAGAGAGGCCCUGUCAGCCAUAGAGGUGACGGGCGGAGUUGUUAGAAGUCAUAAACCAGGAAAGGUCGUUGAAAGAGCUCCCGCCGUAGAGACUUCUAGAAACAGGCUUAUUGAGCUCGAACGUUUUAAACAAGAAUCGGCCUUUGUUAAAUUGUCCGUGUUAGCUCCUCGAUGAAUUGACGUUAAGUAAUCUUAGAGACCUGGAGAGUUUGUUAUCGGAGUCGCCUCAAUAAGGCAGGCCAUAGCUGGCGGAAUGCUUAGAGUUCUUAGAGCACGAAGUGUUGUUAUCGAAAAAGCCGCAAGAUGGUGUACUCUAACCUUUAAACUCGUUAAACCUCUAUAAUAGAGAGAAGGUGUUGUUAGACUAACCACCUUAAGGUGGCCUUUAACCCUUCAAUGUCUUCGACUGCGAAGAAGAGCAUAUACUCUUAGUCUACAGACCCUGGUAAGGCUUACUCGAUUGGUUGACGAGCUUGAAUCUUCUCUAGCUGAAGAAGCCUUUAGUGAAACAGCCAGGUUAAGGCCUAUCGUAACCUUUCGAGUUCUUGAACCAUCACGACGUUAACUCCGUCUUACUCGAAAGCCCGGGAUAAGGAGGCUCAAACCCGAUGACGUUCUUCGAUGUUCUGGAACGGAACCGGCUAUUAUUCGAGAGCCCCUGGUAAGGCUCGUGAAAGCUUGUGGAGCGCCUAGAGUGUAACUAGUGUAACAUGUUGUUAAGGGAGCUCCCAGGAAACGGCCUCAGAGAGAAGUACGAUUUUUUAGAGUCGUAGUAGUUGAAGAGAGUGUUAUCUGAGUUGCCUUCGUAGGAGGGAAACGAGCCGAGUUGGCGUAAUUGACAGGACCUAAACUGUUUAUUGUCGAAAAGUCCACAUUAAGGGAGGCGAUAGCCACUCAGCUCCUUGGACUGGUCUGAUUCCGAUCCGGUGUUAGAGGAUUGACCACGUCAGGGAGGACUCAAUCCGGAAGAGCUCCUUGAGCUGAAGGAUCUAGAACGCCGCUUGUUAAAUAGGCCACUUCAGGGCUUAUACGACAGUUCCACAUUCUCUGACUGGGUAGAGGACGAAUUACCUUUAUUGAAUCACCCAUCACAAGGAAGUACCGACCCCUUAAACUUAAACGAGCCACUUGAGCUAGAGAGAAGUUUACUUAAGUCGCCCCUAAAUGGAGGCCUCUAACCGUUGACGAGCUCAAAUGACUUUGAAAGAGACGUACUGUUGUUACAAAGUCCACAAUAUGGUGGCCUCUAGCCUUUAGAGCGGAGUGAGUUACAUGAAUUAAAUGUUUCAUUAUUAGUAAGUCCGGGUUAAGGAAGCUGAUAAGCCGUGACGUUGUUCGAGAUACUUAACUCCGAAAGACUCUUGAGUGACUGUCCUCAUUAUGGCCGUCUCUAGCCUGUCAAUUGACUCGAAGUUCAAUAUGACCUAAACUCGUCUUUAGUUAAUAGUCCUCUUUAGGGAAGAAGAUAACCUCUAGAGUAGUUCGAUCUCUCUGAAUUAGAUAGAAAGUUAGCUAACCUUCCCGCGUAUGGACGAAGCUAGCUGGCUGACUGUUCGGAUGUGGCUGAUUUAAAUAGCUUAUUAAAAGAGCUGCCAAGUUAAGGAAGACAUGAGAGCUCGAAGGGCAACUCGAGCAAAUGCCCAUUGCUUAAUACACCGCGCGGUAACCCAAGUACACAGCCGAGUGCCCGGAGACUCUACUUCUCGAAUAGCUGACGCUGCCACCGCCCCUAGUAUCAUCGCUAACACGAACAAAGUCGUCGCCAAACGCACCGCGAAGAAAUAUAUUACGAAUCUUAUACCUACUUAACCUCCCUUCAAAGACACAGUUUAAGUCUACCUCUUCUCAUACUCCCCUUUCUUCUGUCAUUUACCGGGUCUUUUCUGUUGUUUACCUAGUUUUUUUUACCCUUCAUAACCUUCCACUUCAGGUACAGACACCACCGAAGAGGACUACUCUCCUUGUCGAGAAGUAGACUAAGUACGUAAGAACCUCACUUUUCCCUUCACCCACGAAGUCUCUUAAGUCACCAGACUUUUUCUAAACCUUCAACUUACGUCAAAUCGACAACGUCUUGUAAGAGAGAAAGAAAAAGUAAAAAAAAAGAAAUAAAAACAUCACAAAACAAACCAACGACUUCACCCCACACCCAUUUCUACACGACCCAAAACAUACGCCUUUAGAUAAUGAUAACAUCAUCAAACAUCUGAGUCAUUUAGUUAGGGAACGGAAAGACUUUUAGACAUGACGUUCAUUGUAGAGAAAAGAACACGUUUGAUCAGAAACCAAUGACAAGUAUGACGUACUUUUAAAAGUUAAUUUGGUUCACUAAAACGUCUAUCUACUCUUAGUGAAAAUCGGGCUUAUUUUAAACGUUCCAAACUAAAUGUUCUCUCUUCAUCUACUUUGUGAGGUUGGAGACAUCACUAAUCAUUCAAAAGUCGUCAAGUAGAGUUUACGGAAUGUGUAGUUGUUUGAAAUGUUCCGCUUUUUCUAAUAGUGUAUAAAUGUAACCUUGAAUUUAUAAUGUCUUAAACAAGUAGUAUUCGGUUUAAAUGUCUACCUAAAGUUUGCAUUGUCCUAUUCUCACUCAAGGUGACUCUUUUACAUGUAACGCUGCAUAUAAGGCUUAGAGUUCCAUAGAAAUGUAAAUCCUCUGUUAUAAGGACGCAAGGAAGUUUGUUAAUGUAGACUAAACCGUUUACCAAUUCGGACUGACCAAAACGAUAGCCGAACUUACUAGUUUUCUCUUUUUUAUUUUUUUUUAUUUUCCUUUUUGGUAUUUGGGAUGGUUACAUAAUUGAUUACAAGCUUCGUUUUAAACAAGAACAAGGUACCGUAGAAACACGAAAAAGCGCGAGUAACAACCCAGUGGCAUAUUAGUGUUGGUAAUACCCAUGGUAUCUUGGUCACCACCAAACUCUUUUUCUCUUUUCUUAACUACAAGAUACGUAUUAUGUACAUGUUCGACGAAAAUCGUCGUGUCUGUUAGUCCAAACAACAUCCUACGGUACGGUUUACUCAGUCGAAGCUGAAGUUCAGCGUCCCCUAGAGAAGUAAUAAUAGUCCCGAGCCUUAUAGUACAGGACACUACUCCCAUUGCCGUUCUUAAUUUUUAUUUUUAAUAACUGCCAAGAAGUUCCUUUGACUUUCAACACCACUUUUCUUUACUCUUCACGGAUCCUGGAGAGGCUAACUCGGGUGCUCGUUUUGAACAUUCGUUGGGACGUCGAAAACCGUCUCUUAAAUACACACCACAGGACUCUAGUUAUACUUAAUAAUUUCACUCCGAGUAACCAAUAUAGGUAAAUAUGUUUCAUCGCUAAUAAUGAUAACUUCUACGCUCCAAUAGAAAAAGGUUUGGGAAAGUUCCUAAACGAAGUAAUUUCAUCCCUCAUCUUGGUCAUCUCUAACGAAAGGAGUAAAUGGGAUCUCAACUCAUAGAGUAACCUACUUUAUCUAGUUAUUCCCUUUGAUCACUUUUUCUUUAUUAAGCUGUACUAUAAACAUUAUAUUAUUGAGGUGUAAAGUUGUCUUUCACUACUGUUACUAUGACACUGACUGUUAAGUUCUGACUAUGAGCUCAAGCUAGUUUUUCCUCAAACAAAAGUAAAUCGGUCUCCCAUAUAGAAGUUAAAAGAAGCUGUUAAUUCAAGUGAUAGAAACCUUUAGUUAAUUCGAUUACUUGUUAUCUUAUAUAUUUGGUUGGACAAACCCAAAGACGAUCGAACGUUUCAUUACGGUAGUAGUCCAGGUGGCAGCGCUCUCUUUUGAGCCUUUAAUAACGACUAAAGUACGUCUUUUGUCAUCAGAAUUAUUGUUAUUAAGAUCUUCGUCAGUUUAUUAUAUAGUCUUUGGACAUUCUAGGUGACCGUUUCGCCGCAGGUAGGAACGAUUACGUUGUGGGUUUGAACAGCUUCUGCCUUAGUCGUGAUAUGUUGAGGUUCUCGACGUCUAUGGUCUUUUAUACAAUUGUAGUUUUAUAUAAAAAAGUUCUCCUCAUGAACAUAGAUACUAAUCAGCAGGUUUUGGAUUGUUUUUGUUUACUGUUCGUGAAUAAGAUGACCGUCUAACCCAAAAGAAAGCUUUCCCUUUUAAAGUUUACUCUGUGUAAACUACCAUGAACACGUAUAACUUAGUUUUGAUUAUAGUUAAUUCUUUAUUUUUUAUUUAUUCAAUGGAACCUCGCUUCUAUGAGUACAUGUAAUUUUCAACGUUAUCCUCUCGAGAGGUACACGUCCAGGGUGUAGACUUUUACGUCCUUUAUUGUACACUGUGGAGAUCUAAACAUCAAGAAAUAUUUUCUAUAUUACACCAGUUUGGAGAAUUGGACCGAUAUCUUAAACCUGCCACCGAUCCAAGUUCUCUAAUUCUCUCAAUUCAUACGAUUCUGAUCUCAUCGGGAUCCUGCCCACUGAGGGAGUCUUCACCCCGCAGUGUAUUGUUAACUCCGACUGACGUUUCAGGUGUUAAAAAAAAAAAAACCGAUUAUAUCUUGUAUUACUGUUGUAUUUAUUAUAUACCAUCCUGUUUUUUUUAACAUCUUUUCUCAGAGUUGUUACUUCAAAAUCUUUAGUGUCAUCGACUUAUAUUUCUAAAAUCAUUUUGUUAAUCUCUUUCCGAACCAGUUCAGUCCAACCAGUUAGGCGACUGACUUUUUGUUUACAGUUGAUAAAGUUUACCCUAUUAAAAUUUAUAAAACGUCAAUUACUGGGAAAUUUUUAGUCAACUGAACGGUCCGAUCAUAUUCCACUUGGCAGUUAGUUGUUUCUUAUGAGUGUCAUUACUUCUAAUUGAAGGUGUAUUCCGAUGUGAUGGAAAUUUAAGUACAUCAGCGCUGAAUCUUAUAUAGAAGGUAGAAAACCUUUGAAAUAUAGUCUUUAUCUUCUUUAAUAGAGCGAUUUCUUUCAGGGUCUAAAAAAUAAAAGUGCUAGUGCAUCAGACGUUGUCUUUUAUAGUUUAGUAGUUGGGGGAAACGAUUUCUUUGAUAAUUUCUCAUUGUAUAUAAUCUAUUUAGGUCACUAUUCUUAUUGCUGUUCGUUUACUUUAUCGAGUGUAAGAGUGUAAGACUAGUGUCUGACGACUGACAGCGUCCAGUUGUUCGGCUUAUUUUGGAGAGCUUGACGACAUCCGAUUUUCUAACGUUAUUCUGCCUACUUUAAGUCGACUUCAUUAGUGGAGACCUCUCAAGUUGUUUACUUUCAGUCAUUCAUUUCGAUAACUAGGUAGUUAUUCAAUGCAUUAACAAGUUUCCAUUGAGUCGUACGUGAUGGUUUGACAUCUUGAAGACAUACAACAGGAGAUGUGUUUCCUAAGGAAGUUAGUUCACAUAUUUUACAUCCGAAGAACAACUCUAAGGGAGUUGAUAGCCGGUACACUUAUCUGGGGAGUCGAGAAAAAAAAAAAAAAAAACCCAAUGUAAACGAGCAGAACUAAAUUCAACAAAGUAAUCCCUAAGGUAAUUAAAAUUACCGAGGUAGUCAAUAUUGUCCGAUUGAAAAUUGUCUUGGAUGUCUUUUUGGCUCUGCAAUUUAAAUUGGCAUUAUGAGUCUAAUGCGUAUUAAAGUGGUAUUACUCUUUAUUGAACUUAGUUUUACUCCUUUUCGUAUACCCGCAGUUUUUUUUUUUUCUAUUUCAACCCCUCGGAUAAAGUUUUAUCGGUUGUCGACGUCCCUAGAGACAUUCUAAAAUCGGUAGAUAAUAAGUACUACUCCUGAUUUUCAAUGCCUUUUGUCUUAAUACUUAUUUCUACUAAUAAUACAGUCCUUUUGUCAAUGUUUUAUCUAGUGGAUGCUCUAGAAGGUACAGUUUUCCGAAGUAUAGUUACUACAAUUUCGUAACUAAUGACUAGAGGUCCAAGGUAUUCAAAUAAGACUCCAGUAGUCGUCUAUACUUACAGAGUGGUAGUGACGCGUGCAUUCUUUUUAUAAUCCGGAGUCUGUUUUUUGGUUUUUGGUGUAUUUUCUUGGAUGUUUCCGAUCCGAUGUAAUCAUGGUAGACGGGUAAUCACUGUCUUCAUUUAGGACUUUUUAUUAAUGUUUAUUAGACUUGUACAUCUAGCUUACUCUAUUUAGAAGUGUGUUAAUUCGUGUUUUACGUCUUCUAUCAUUUUUUUCUUAUUACCUUUUAACAUAGUUAUCUACGACACGAUGGGGCUACUACGUUGAACCGGGGACUUGUAAAGUGAAUUUGUGACAGUAGGAGGUCAAAAGAGUAUACAACGUUAAGGUAGGAAUCGUCACCUUUUUUUUUUCUUGUUCUUUUAUUACAUCCGACUGGAAAAGUGAUUUUACUGGAAAGAUUGAAGUAAAGUUCAUUUGAAUUUUUGUUUCAUGAAAAUUAUCUUCCCUAAUAUACCAGUAAAAUCUUUUGAAAAAAAAAACUACCAGUCCUUACUUUGACGUUGUAUAAUUUUUGAAGUCCCUGAUGCAUAAAUUCACUUCUCAAGUCCCUGGUGUAGUGUUAUAACCCUAUCAUUCCCCUGAUAGGUAUGUAAUAUGACUUUUAUAGAAUGGAUAAUAAUCUCUACCUUAACUACAACAUUAGUACUCGUACUCUUAUCUAGGAGGCUGUGAAACGUCAUCACCAUAGAGGUUAUAGAUGAUGGAUUAUUGUUUUUAUUUAUAUCUGAUGUACCAUAAUUAUAAAUGGUCUUCUCUGUUUUGUAUAUUAUGAUGUUAUGUCAAAGAAGAAGCCGAAUACUACUUUGUUUUAU
rnacentral:lncRNA from 1 species